GACGAACGCUGGCGGCGUGCCUAAUACAUGCAAGUCGAACGAACUCUGGUAUUGAUUGGUGCUUGCAUCAUGAUUUACAUUUGAGUGAGUGGCGAACUGGUGAGUAACACGUGGGAAACCUGCCCAGAAGCGGGGGAUAACACCUGGAAACAGAUGCUAAUACCGCAUAACAACUUGGACCGCAUGGUCCGAGCUUGAAAGAUGGCUUCGGCUAUCACUUUUGGAUGGUCCCGCGGCGUAUUAGCUAGAUGGUGGGGUAACGGCUCACCAUGGCAAUGAUACGUAGCCGACCUGAGAGGGUAAUCGGCCACAUUGGGACUGAGACACGGCCCAAACUCCUACGGGAGGCAGCAGUAGGGAAUCUUCCACAAUGGACGAAAGUCUGAUGGAGCAACGCCGCGUGAGUGAAGAAGGGUUUCGGCUCGUAAAACUCUGUUGUUAAAGAAGAACAUAUCUGAGAGUAACUGUUCAGGUAUUGACGGUAUUUAACCAGAAAGCCACGGCUAACUACGUGCCAGCAGCCGCGGUAAUACGUAGGUGGCAAGCGUUGUCCGGAUUUAUUGGGCGUAAAGCGAGCGCAGGCGGUUUUUUAAGUCUGAUGUGAAAGCCUUCGGCUCAACCGAAGAAGUGCAUCGGAAACUGGGAAACUUGAGUGCAGAAGAGGACAGUGGAACUCCAUGUGUAGCGGUGAAAUGCGUAGAUAUAUGGAAGAACACCAGUGGCGAAGGCGGCUGUCUGGUCUGUAACUGACGCUGAGGCUCGAAAGUAUGGGUAGCAAACAGGAUUAGAUACCCUGGUAGUCCAUACCGUAAACGAUGAAUGCUAAGUGUUGGAGGGUUUCCGCCCUUCAGUGCUGCAGCUAACGCAUUAAGCAUUCCGCCUGGGGAGUACGGCCGCAAGGCUGAAACUCAAAGGGAUUGACGGGGGCCCGCACAAGCGGUGGAGCAUGUGGUUUAAUUCGAAGCUACGCGAAGAACCUUACCAGGUCUUGACAUACUAUGCAAAUCUAAGAGAUUAGACGUUCCCUUCGGGGACAUGGAUACAGGUGGUGCAUGGUUGUCGUCAGCUCGUGUCGUGUGAUGUUGGGUUAAGUCCCGCAACGAGCGCAACCCUUAUUAUCAGUUGCCAGCAUUAAGUUGGGCACUCUGGUGAGACUGCCGGUGACAAACCGGAGGAAGGUGGGGAUGACGUCAAAUCAUCAUGCCCCUUAUGACCUGGGCUACACACGUGCUACAAUGGAUGGUACAACGAGUUGCGAACUCGCGAGAGUAAGCUAAUCUCUUAAAGCCAUUCUCAGUUCGGAUUGUAGGCUGCAACUCGCCUACAUGAAGUCGGAAUCGCUAGUAAUCGCGGAUCAGCAUGCCGCGGUGAAUACGUCCCCGGGCCUUGUACACACCGCCCGUCACACCAUGAGAGUUUGUAACACCCAAAGUCGGUGGGGUAACCUUUUAGGAACCAGCCGCCUAAGGUGGGACAGAUGAUUAGGGUG
rnacentral:rRNA from 2 species